rnacentral:rRNA from 1 species
CCUGCUUGAUCCUGCCAGUAGUAAUAUGCUUGUCUCAAAGAUUAAGCCAUGUAUGUGUAAGUAUGAACUAAUUCAGAUUGUGAAACUGCGAAUGGCUCAUUAAAUAAGUUGUAGUUAUUUUGAUGGUAUUUGCUACUCGGAUAACCAUAGUAAUUCUAGAGCUAAUACGCGCAACAAACCCUGACUUCUGAAAGGGAUGUAUUUAUUAGAUAAAAGGUCGAUGCGGGCUUUGCCCGUUGCUUUGAUGAUUCAUGAUAACUCGACGGAUUGCACGGCCUUUGUGGUGGCGACGCAUCAUUCAAAUUUCUGCCCUAUCAACUUUCGAUGGUAGGAUAGUGGCCUACUAUAGUGGUGACGGGUGACGAAGAAUUAGGGUUCAAUUCCGGAGAGGAAGCCUGAGAAACGGCUACCACAUCCAAGGAAGGCAUGAGGCAUGCAAAUUACCCAAUCCUGACAUAGGGAGGUAGUGACAAUAAAUAACAAAACCGGGCUCUACGAGUAUGGUAAUUAGAAUGAGUACAAUCUAAAUCCCUUAAGGAGGAUCCAUUGGAGGGCAAGUAUGGUGCCAGAAGUCGCGGUAAUUCCAGCUCCAAUAGCGUAUAUUUAAGUUGUUGCAGUUAUAAAGCUCGUAGUUAAACCUAGGGGUGGGUCAACCGGUCUGCCUCACGGUGAGCACCGGUCUGCUCGUCCCUACUGUCGACGAUGCGCUCCUGGCCUUAAUUGGCCGGGUCGUUCCUUUGGCGCUAUUACUUUGAAGAAAUUAGAGUGCUCAAAGCAGGCCUAUGCAUGUAUACAUUAGCAUGGGAUAACAUCACAAGAUUUCGAUCCUAUUGUGUUGGUCUUCAGGAUCAGAGUAAUGAUUAACAGGGACAGUCGGGGGCAUUUGUAUUUCAUAGUCAGAGGAUAAAUUCUUGGAUUUAUGAAAGGCGGACAACUGCGAAAGCAUUUGCCAAGGAUGUUUUCAUUAAUCAAGAAUAAAAGUUGGGGGCUCGAAGAUGAUCAGAUACCAUCCUAGUCUCAACCAAGAACGAUGCCAACCAGGGAUCGACGGAUGUUGCUUUUAGGACUCCGCUGAAACCUUUUGAGAAAUCAAAGUCUUUGGGUUCCGGGGGGAGUAUGGUCGCAAGGCUGAAACUUAAAGAAAUUACGGGAAGGGCACCACCAAGAGUGGAGCUUGCGACUUAAUUUGAUUCAACACGGGGAAACUUCCCAGGCCAUACAUAGUAAGGAUUGAUAGACUGAGAGCUCUUUCUUGAUUCUAUGGGUGGUGGUGCAUGGUCGUUCUUAGUUGGUAGAGCAAUUUAUCUAGUUAAUUUCGUUAUCGAACGAGACAUCGGCCUGCUAACUAGCUACAUGGAUGUGAUCCUCUGUGGCUAGCUUCUAAGAGGGACUAAGGCCACUUGGGCCAAGGAAGUUUGAGGCAAUAACAGGUCUUUAAUGCCCUUAGAUGUUCUGGGCCGCACGCACGCUACACUGAUGUAUUCAACGAGUAUAUAGCCUUGGCCGACAUGCCCGGGUAAUCUUUGGAAUUUCAUCAUGAUGGGCAUAAAUCAUUAUAAUUGUUGGUCUACAACGAGGAUCUCCUAGUAAGCACGAGUCAUCAGCUCGAGUUAACUACGUCCCUGCCCUUUGUACACACCGCCCGUCGCUCCUACCGAUUGAAUGAUCCUGUGAAAUGUUUAGAUCGCGACGACGUGGGUGGUUUGCUGCCCGCGACGUUGUCAGAAGUCCACUGAACCUUAUCAUUUAAAGAAAGGAGAAGUCAUAACAAGGUUUCCGUAGGUGAACCUACAAAAG